UACGUAGGUGGCAAGCGUUAUCCGGAUUUAUUGGGCGUAAAGGGAACGCAGGCGGUCUUUUAAGUCUGAUGUGAAAGCCUUCGGCUUAACCGGAGUAGUGCAUUGGAAACUGGGAGACUUGAGUGCAGAAGAGGAGAGUGGAACUCCAUGUGUAGCGGUGAAAUGCGUAGAUAUAUGGAAGAACACCAGUGGCGAAGGCGGCCUGCUGGACAGUAACUGACGUUGAGGCUCGAAAGCGUGGGGAGCAAACAGG
rnacentral:rRNA from 1 species